GAGAAACAAAGACUCACUAUUGAAGCUUUCAACAGCAACAGCUUGCUUUGCAAACUCAAGACUCAAAUGACCAACAUCCUGAAAAAAAUCAAAAGAGCAUCUUCUUAUGGUAAAAAUCAUUCAACUAAACAAAAAGCAAGGCUAUGACAAUCUUCUUAUGCUGGCAUCUGAGGCAAAAUAUAUUCUUCCACCAAAACUUUCCAUGUCUGUUUUAGUAUUACUGGGCCACCUGCCAGGUGGCUGAAAACACAAUUUAACUGAUACUUAAGUUAGUAAUUAUUGAAAAUUCUGUUACAUUUCCCUGCCUCAAAGGAAAAGUAUUUUAUGAAUAAAUACACAGC
rnacentral:lncRNA from 1 species